UCGAAGAGAUUCAUUAGUUUGUUAUUCAUUAAAAAUAUUAGUAAUAAAGAUAGACGCAAAAAUACGAUUACAAGGCUAAAGCAGUUGCUAAUUUUGAUCAUGCGGCGAUUAAGAAGAAUUCGACAUUUUUACUUCAAAUGAAAAUUACAUUUAAAUGUAUAAUAAUAAGUUUAAUGUUUAAUAAUACCAAGUAUCACAAAACUUAAAAAAAGCCGCCUGAAGUGCUUUAACCGAGUAAUUAGAAAACAAGAAACAUAGAUUCGAGUACAGAUAAAUCUUAUUAAAUGUCCGUGUAGAGAAACGUGUCUUAAAUACCUUAUUGAUUAGUUGCUAUGUGUGUGAGUGUGUCUGUUAGAUAAGAAGGCAUGCGAGCGUGCAGAAAAUUAAUAGUAUUACAAAAUGCAUUUGCUAUAAAUUAUAGAUUUAGAACACUCCCUCAUGUACUUUCACAGUUCAAUUAACAAUCGAAUAAAAAUAAUCCAUAGCAAGGUCGAAACGAACUCAUGUCAAAACAGCAUCAACGGAUGCCACAUUCUUACAAUACGUCAUUACAAGUAUGCAAAACAAACAAACAACAGCGGGUUCUGAUUAGAAACCAGACACCUUCCAUGUCCAUCAGUCAAUCUUAAAUACGAAUGCUACUAGGAGUCAUUGACCCACAUCGAAAUAAGGCAUAGAAACGAUCAAAACUAGAAGGCAUUCAAUAUAAAGGUUCGCGUACAAGCUCAAAGCUCGCAGAAAGCUUUGGAAAUUCGGAGAGAAGUACACUAUGCAGCACGUUUCAGAACUAAAUAUGGCUUACUAAAUGGAAUUUCUUUCACUGACGAACUACUAGUUUACUAGGGAUGCUGAAAACCGGCAAUACAAAAAUGGUUAAGUGUGAAAACUGGAUUCAUUCAUGCAUUUUUCAAUUAUGGAAGUAAUGGGUUAAAUGGCGAGGGUCUAGAGGCUACAGAUCGUGCGAACUAUGGGAUGGCAAGGUCAACAGAUGCUACAAAUACGCAAUGGUUAAAAAGUACUGAGAUACUGAGAUGUUUUUAGCAGUUUCAUAGAGACCUGGAUAGUUGGUAGCUUGGCCUGCUGCUUGACUUUUGAUUUUCUUUACGUUUUCGGGAGUUCGGGAGUGUGUAUGGCAAUAGAAAUUAGAGGAUAAUUGUGA